GGAGGGAGGAACCAAAAGAAAAUUGGCAGACUUAUGAGCCUGUCAGGGUCCUCAUAAGCCGAGAUACCUUUGAGGAAGCAGAGAGGUGCCUGGAGAGGUAUUUGAAGCAGCAAUGCGACACCACUGAUAUCCAGUCAGAGGAGGAGAGCCAACAGCCUCAGAAAAGGAGAAAGAAACCAAACCUAAUCUACAAGAAUUCAGAUGACUCUGAUGAAGAUCAACCUCGGAGUAAAUAUCCCCAAGCUCCAAAAAUUUUGUUCCCAGGUACAGUAUAGUAGGUGUUACGGUAGUGUUCCCUGUGUUUGUUCGUUCUCCUCCCAUUCUCUACCUCUGCUCAGGUGCAUUGCAUCUGAGGACCUUGAUUAG